UACAGAGGCCCCAAGCAUUAUCCGGAAUUACUGGGCGUAAAGGGCGCGUAGGCGGGAUGGUAAGUCGGUCGUGAAAUCCCUCGGCUCAACCGAGGAACGUCGAUCGAUACUACCGUUCUUGAGGAUUGCAGAGGAGACUGGAAUUCCCGGUGUAGCGGUGAAAUGUGUAGAGAUCGGGAGGAACACCGGUGGCGAAGGCGGGUCUCUGGGCAAUUCCUGACGCUGAGGCGCGAAAGCGUGGGGAGCAAACGGG
rnacentral:rRNA from 1 species